rnacentral:lncRNA from 1 species
GGAAUUCUAGGGUUGUUGUCAUUUAAGCACAAGCUCUUCUCCCAGUCGCUGCCGCGCUGCAUUUGAUUGCAGGAGUCGGCUAUGGAUUCUCGCAAGAAAUUGGUAAACUUGUUUUCUCUAGAGGAAUCUUUGCUGUUUCAGACAGAAUGUCACUAUAGCUUCCUGCGAGGAAAUCAGUAAAUUCAUGAGUUUUUUUUUUUUUUUGCAUAGCUUGAAAAUUAUGCUUUUUUUGUUUGAGAAACUUUGAAGUCUUCCUUUGAGAAACUUACUCCGGCUGGGUUUGUUCUUCGCAGCACCGGUGCUAGAAUCGUCACUGCUGCUGCCGCACUGCUGCAAGACGAGGUCGGUGAUUCUUUCUCUCUGGUUGUGCUCGCGUUUAACUUCUUCCACCUUGUAUAGAUCGGACAGGCCCCUGGCACAGCAUCGUCAGGCGUAUCUUUGUGGAGCUGGAAGUCACCGCACAGCUCCUAGUGUCCCACACAUCGACGUCCCGCGACUUCCCCUUGAUUUGCUCCAGCCACUUCGCCGAUAUGUGCUGCUCGCUUCUCACGCUCGUCAACUUGGCUUACCAGCUUGGAUGAGCGCCGUUGGAAACCGACCAUACCUGGCCUUUCUUCGCCUUGAGCAGCGUCCAGUCGGCGUCGAAGUCGUAAGUCCCGAACGCCUGCUCCAUGGGCGGAGGGCGAUCGUCUCCUCCCAGGAAGUUCUCGGAGAGGAGAAGCGGCCUCUCUUGCUGCUCGGGACCUCCUCCUCCCCGUGGUCGUCGAACCUGUAGCAGAGGAUGUUGCGCUGGAAGCUUGUUCCUUCCUCGGCCGCCGGUUUCUCGCUGGCUGGCUUCUCACUCGCGGGUUUCUCUGGGGCCUGCUGCUUCACAGGCUUCGAGUAUUCUGCUUCGCUGUCUGGAACUUCCAGGAUUCUCCAUUCAGCUCAUCAUCCCUGUCUGGAACCUCGUCACCUUCCUUCGCAUCGCCGCAGCUAGCCGCGGACAAUCCUUCUUCUGGCGUUUCACAUUCACUUGACCUUUUUUCUAGCGAUCUCUUUUGGACAGCAUCCUUGCUUCCUGGAUUACGGUUCAAAAACUCGUCGAUCUUCCUGGCCCUAGGAAACUUAACCAAAAUUUUUUUUUAAAAAAAAACACUUACUGCUUGCAACGAGAAAUGGAGAAAUGCCAGCAUAGAAACUCUUAGAAUUGAAAAAAGAAAACUAGAAGCCAAUGAAGCUUAGAAGUAUAGCUAGCCAGUCAUCAAGAACGUGGAUUAGGCUUGAAUUACCCAUAGAUCAAUCAAUCUUAAAGAUUCACUGCUCCGGCGGCUCCACCAGCGGUUCCUGGGGCUGCUGUGGCGCCUGGGGCUGCUGUGGCUGCCGUGGAAUCAG